rnacentral:rRNA from 1 species
AAAUUGAAGAGUUUGAUCAUGGCUCAGAUUGAACGCUGGCGGCAGGCCUAACACAUGCAAGUCGAACGGUAACAGGAAGCAGCUUGCUGCUUCGCUGACGAGUGGCGGACGGGUGAGUAAUGUCUGGGAAACUGCCUGAUGGAGGGGGAUAACUACUGGAAACGGUGGCUAAUACCGCAUAACGUCGCAAGACCAAAGAGGGGGACCUUAGGGCCUCUUGCCAUCAGAUGUGCCCAGAUGGGAUUAGCUUGUU